ACUUAAACGCGGUACAAAGAAAACAACAUCACCAACGAAACGCCUACACGCAUUCAAAAGGAAGAGUGCAUCGGGGCCCGUGUGCUGUUUUUUUUUUUUUCUCGGUGAAGACCGCAGUAGCGCACGAGUACACUCAUAUUCGAUCACGCAGUACUUUGGAUCCUCAUUAGUUGACAGGGAAACCAUUGUGUUCAGCAUAGCCAUGCCUUUGCGAGCUUGUGUAUACAGGACGCCGGCGCAGGCCCGCUUGGUCGAGGUUGUCUCCGGUUAUGUCCAGCAUCUUAUGGAUGUGCAGGCAUCUAGGUGCACUGAGACCGCCCUUGACGGGCAUGUGGUCCCCCCGCCGAACGCAAAGUACCCUUCCCACGACUUCUUUUGUGCGACUCACGCGCCUGCGAUCUCGGUGAAGAGGUACACGGAGCGCCUAGUGACGUACAUGCACUGCUCGCCCGAAGCAUUUGUGUUUGCCGUCGCCUACCUGCGGCGGCUGGUGCUAAGCGGAUUCCCGGUGCAUAUGCGGUCUAUCCAUCGUCUGCUGUUAACAGCCGUCUUGGUGGCCCUCAAGUGUAGAGACGACGUGUACUACCACAUGAGCUUCUACGCUGAGGUUGGUGGCGUUACCUCGAAGGACUUGCGCAUAAUGGAGAUUCGGUUUCUCUCCGACCUUAUCCGCUUCGAAGGCGAGGUAUCUCUAGCAGAUUACCAUGUCGUCAUGGUGGACAUCAUGCGCGUGACGGAACGGCGCAUGAUAACGAAUAUUAACGGCAAGACGGAGUUGUGCAACCGAUGCGGCAUGUCUGCAGGCGCCUUCACCACCUCGACCCCAGGAGAUCUUGGCUGCCUACACUGCAAGGGUGACGCGUUCGCACAAUCGUGGACUAGCGAGUGCGAACUGUUUUGGGGGCCGCUAAAUUCUGCUUUCUCACUUCCCGCCGGAGAGGUCCGAAAGACACUUUCAUGCUAAACAAGGAAGAGAGAAGAGUGACGUCAAAGGCGACACAGUGAGGAGGCCUUUCUCACUCGGCUCCACCUCUGUCACUCUAGACGGCACUGACGUGAAUAUAUAUAUAUAUAUAUUCUUCUUUCAGCGUGUCCAUUCGCUCAUACAGCAUGCGCUCAGCUACGCUCUGCACCGGGCCUGUCACAGGCCUCAUCCGCGUGGCGCGAUGGCAGCCGCGGACACACGCAUUGCCGUCGUGCGCCGACUCCAGCCAUCUGAGCAUGGUCCCUGCAUCAAGCUCUGCACACCACCCGUUCCUCAGGGUCGCCUCAUAGCCGCUUACAUCAUGCCGGCCGCCACUUGCUGCAAGCCCCCCUGGGAGGCGGCACUCAGGCGCCCCACACCGCUGGGCAGUAAGAGUCUAGUGUGAGAUGCGCUCGAGUCACGCUGACGCUCUGCCUAAUCAUAUGAGUCGUACCAACGUGUUCGAUGUCGCAGGUGGCUCCGACGCAGCGCCAUGCAGGACCUGAACACCGACAUCAGCAGCGACACAUCGCUCUGAAUUCUCCACGUCGUGAGUACCUGACCCUUGUCGCCACCGGAAGAGGCUCGACAUUGGCAGGGCUAGGUGGGGGCUGCUUGCCCUUCUCCCACUGCAUGGUGGACUGGACCCUAGAAUGACACGCUAAGGUGUUUUCUCCGUCAUCAUGGGCUUCAGAGCGAAGGCGGGACAUGAAAAUGCGCACCGGCUUGCUCUUUUCUGAGCACCUGAUACCCUCUUUCUCGUAUGUGUCUGUGCAGUACUGCGACACGGAGACUUACGAAGCAGCCCGAAGGACACAGAGGAAUAAAAAACGAAAAAUUGAGUUCGUGAUAAUGGUGUAAAAACGACCCUUUUCUGCUCAUCUUCUUUUUUCGUUCUUUUCUUGUACCGCGGCAGGUGCACUUUGCCGGCCUUCGCCCCUCUGUGUUCUCCUCGUUAGAGAAAUUCGUCUCUGCCGUUCUCUUUUGUUUUCCCUUUUUAAUACCUUUUGAUCUAGCGCCGUGUUUUUCCGCCUCAUUACGUACUACACCGCGAAGGCUUCUCUUAGUUCGUAACACAUUUUUUUUCUUUUGCUCUUUUCUCUCUCUCUCGCUCCCAGGGACUCUUCUCUCGUAUUCGUAGUUCCCUCUUUGUUGGCUUACGUUUAAUGUACUCCUUUUCGAUCUCUCCCCUUCUUUAUAUUUUUUAAUGUGCUGUGUCCUGUUUUCAUCUCUAAUGACGCCGUUUACUCACCAUGGUAUCAGGGGUGGACCCACGCUCUGUGUGGGGAGGCCAAGAGCCUGCAGCCCGGCCGCCGGCACGGCUGCGGCCUCUUGGCGUCGGCGGACAGCGCUUGGCUGGCGCGGUGCCGAGGAGACGUGCGGCCAUGAUCGCGCUUGGACCAGCUCACGACGAGUCGCACCGACGGCUCACCACAUAUGCGCGCAGGCGCCCACCGCUUUUCUGCCUUUGCUGCCUUUGCUGCGUUGCGGUGGUGUGGAGCGUGAUCGCGGCAACGGCCCGCUCUGCAUGCACCGGAAUCGCAGUGGGCUGGACGACGCCACACGGCGUUGGUUGUCCCGGUUUCUUAAAAUAGCCGUAUCGCAACGGAGGCAGGUGGAAUGUGACUGUGCGCGUAUAUAUGUUUUGAUGUGGUCCUGGUAGAGCGAUGCGAAAGGAAGAAAAUAAACUGCUGCUCUCUGUUUUUUUUUUUUUCGAAACCUUAUAGCAAAUGCUGUUUGUGAGGUGAAUAACGAAAUACAUGUGGCCGACUGAUUGCCCCACGUGAGUGACACAUUCCGGCUGACGCGACUGUAACGAAAAUAAUUAGGUAGGCGUAGCUCUAAAGAAAGUAAAAGGGAUACCAAGAAAAAAAGAAACUUGUUGGAGCUCUUCGGUGGUAGCGGCGAUGAAAUCGCCGGCGUACGGCAGUGUAAUGUGCAUCGCAAUUCGUGGCAUUAGAUGCUUCCAUACAAGCAUUUGAUAUAAACGCGGGUAUGUUGGUGGCGAUUUAUCUCUUGAUUUCUUUUUCUUUCCUGUCUUUUGCACUGCCAUGCAGAGCUGGGUAAACGAGGCGACGUGGCAUCCUUGUGUGUCUUCGGCGCGCUCUGUCGUGUCACAGUCUCUCAGAGUACCCUGGAACGUGUUGCCAGUGAAGCCGCUGCUUUCCGCUCGCUGUGGCUGCCGCUCUUUUCUCCUUGCCCCUUAUUUAUUGGCCGUUUUUUUUUUGCUGCCAAAUCUUUAUUUUUCCCAUCUUUUUUAAUCGCUCUCUUUUCACUUUGCUCUGAGCUGCUACACCGAGGUUCCUUUCCCGUUUCGAGGACCACUUACUUCUGCAGCUCUUGGUUUAGAGCGCGCGUGUGCAAGAGGCCGGUAUGUGUGGUUUGCAUGGGCUGGCGGAAGUGUGGCAGCAUCGAUUCUUCCGUGUACGCGUGCCUACUUUUCUGUUUUUUUUUUCUUUUUUCUGCUCGGUGUCUCCCCUCUCCACCACUUUUCUUUUUUCCAUUUCACUAGGCGCCCAUUCUUUUUUGUUGUUCUUCAUCCUCUACCUCAUACGGCAAAGUCCAUGAUACUCCUCCAAGGUACACAAUAUACACCCAUUGUGUGGAUAUUUUUUCGCCGGCUUUUCUCCGUCUGAUUUUGUUUGUCACAGUUUCUUUUCCCUUUUUUAUGCGUACUUGUUUGCUACUCUUUUUUUUUGUUUUCGAACUGUAAUGUUAAUGUGAUCUCCUCUCCUCCCUUUUUCUUUGUGUGUUUAUUACCUUCUUGUAGCGGGCAGUCUUUGGUGUGCCUUUUUCUCUUCUUGUUUUAGUCGUGCAUCCGCUUUUCUCCCCGCUUACUUUUCCCGUGCUGCUGUACUCAUGCGACAGAGUUGUGUGCGUGUGUUUCUCUCGUUUUCUUUCGAUGCUGUUACUUAUUAUUUCUCAGUUACCUUCCCUCGUCUUCCGAACACACACGCACACUUUCGCAGUACUCUUGCUUUCGGUGCCCCUUGUACUUUUUCGCUGUUUUGCGCUCCCCUCAAUUUUUUCUUUUUGGCGGCCGUGACUCCCUCUUGUCUCCAUGUUCGCAAAGAAGACCAAAAGUGGCCUGGCGCUCUCUUGUGCUCUCUUUUUUCUCACUCUGUCAUACUCCGUCUUUCCGUUUGCCAUUCAACUCUCUCCCCUCUGACUGUCCCUCUUAUAUCAAAGGCGCCCCCAACACGGAAGUUACGCGACUCACUUUCAGGUGACUAUGUUUAAAGUCCCCACUACACUUUUCCUUUUUGAAAGACGAGAGAGGGGUCUUCGAAAAAGGUUGACGGCUCACCUCCGCUGGGCUUCAGUCUUCAUAUACGAGAACAAGCAAGGCAGAGGUGUGCUGCCCAUCCCUCCCCUCCUCUGCGUCCUUCUCGCCAUCUCUUUUUGUGCCUUUGUUUCUUGGCUGAUGUCUUGGCGCUUUGGCUUUUUUUACGCUUCCGCGGUGUCGUCGUGACUUCUGCCCGUGCUUUCAGCGCUUCAUCUCUCGCGUGGACCCACGAACGGGCUGUUGUUCUCGCUUGCCCUCUUUGAGGUUCUCGCGAGCGAUUAUCUCCUAAAGUGCCCACGCGCAUGCAAGCUAACGAAAAGAAAAUCGCGCAACAUCAAAUGACGCAGUGGUAGUGUGUCGCCACCGUUACCUACACCCCCUUCCCCCAUCGGCGGGGCAAAAUCUCUUCUAUAGCAAUGUAAGCCUCUUUUGACUAGUUGGUCCCGGUGUGACUGCGCCACAGCAGGGGGGGGGGUCGACCACUUCGAAAGGCGCGACGAAAAUCUCUGGAUUUUGUAACGCCGGCCUUUCCACUCCAUGACAGCUUCUUUCUCUCACGCCACUAUCUGCCGCUCGGCUUGUCCAUCUCUCUCCAAUCACAUACUUCUCUUUACCGCGCAUUCGCGCUACGGUGUGUCCGCGUGAAAG
rnacentral:misc_RNA from 1 species